rnacentral:rRNA from 1 species
UACGAAGGGGGCUAGCGUUACUCGGAUUGACUGGGCGUAAAGGGCGCGUAGGCGGGCUCUCAAGUCCGGGGUGAAAUCUUUCGGCUCAACCGGAAAAUAGCCUUGGAUACUGGGAGUCUCGAGCGAGGUAGGGGCGGGUGGAACUUCCGGUGGAGCGGUGAAAUGCGUUGAUAUCGGAAGGAACGCCGGUGGCGAAAGCGACCCGCUGGACCUCUUCUGACGCUGAGGCGCGAAAGCCAGGGGAGCAAACGGG